CACUUCCUGGUUUUUAAGGGUGGCAUGCAAGACAAGUGGAGGUAACACAAACAGGCAUAGAUUCAUAUUUUAGGGUAAUGUUGCAGAUUAACAUUUACCCUAAUACAACAAAGACCUUCCGUGCCAUGCAAACUUAUAAAAAGACCUCAAAGCAAAGCUGUGAUUGGUCCUCCCGUUACAGCAGCCUCUCCUAGUAGGCUGAGGUCAUUUGACCAGAGAUGGAAGACAUGGAGAAGCUGCAGAUCAAACAGUAUUCUGUCUGACAGGAGGAGAUAAAGAGACUGUCAGCCUCGCUACAGAACAAAGCAGCCUCUCACCUCUCUGGCCCACAUCAGCUCCCUGACGGCCAGUGAUGCAGCUCUAAAUCAAAAGAGGACCUCAUCUGUGUAUGUAAAGUGGACAGGUGACCUUCAGGGAAGUGGAACAAAGGUCACAGUUCAUCUGCUCUAUAUUUCUCCAGUGCGACAGCAAAUAUGCCGAGGAGUCUUCUGGGAAUUUGGAGAUUAAGAUGGUGCUUCUCAGUGAUGAGGCCCACAGGAGCUAGAGGUCCGUCCUCUAACUGAGCGUAUUCACAGAUUUCAGGGAGAAAAGUUCCUCAAGCUUGUGUGGAUUUUAUCUUUUUAAGAGGAAGCACAGACAUCAGUGGGGAGAGGAGACUGAGCGUGCAUGGCUGCCAUGUUUGUCCCUGGGUGAGAGUGGGUUUGAGGUUGAUGUGUGAAUAGGGGUACAGUUCCAGUGAGCGCUGCUGUCUUAGCAUGACAACAGGAGUGGGCGGGCUGCACUGGCCCUCCUGACACAGUGCCCACCCCUCUCUGUUUGUGAGAGCGCCACUUCAUUGUGCCCAGUCGCCACGGAGGGACAAAACCUAGAGAGCCUACACAGCUGGAGAUGGCAGGGAGCAUUCAGGCUGAAUGCUCGUCUUGUUCAGGCACUUUUCUGCCCUAUGUCUCACAAGAAACCACUUCCUACUCCCCAUCCUGACUCUGACAAGAGACGAGGAGAUGGUUUUUACUGUGUGUUGUCUCGAUUAAGUCUUUGUUGGAGAAUCGGAGAGAUUGGUAUAAGAGAUCUUUUAAUUAGUAAUUAUCAACUCAAUACUGUGAGAAUUAUUCCAUCCUGACCUCAUAUGUUACUUUCUCUUUAGCUAAAAAAAACUUGCUUUGAUUCAUUGGUGAAUUAUAAAUUACAACAAUACUAUUUGAUGUCAACAGUAUUUAUUUAUACCAUCUCUCUCUGUAUGUGAAUCAUGUUCUCCUGUAAAUGGUUAGCUUUUCCUCAGAGAUGAUAAAAUUGAAUGUAAACACUGAGGUAGACGCACAGAUACUUGUCUAAAAAUGGUCUAA